CGGAGGUUCAGAAAGACCAAACCAGACUAAGGUGAAUCAGAUAAAAAGGAGGAAAUGAAAAUGAAGCUAAAGUUGGAAGUUCGUUAGAUGGUGAAGAAGCUGUCUCUUCCGAUGUAAAAUAUUGGUUGGAUUGCAGUCAGUUUCAGAGGCAAGGAACUGUUCAGGAACAUAAGGUACAGCACUGGAACAGCCCCUUCUGGUCCCACGAACCUGUGCUGUCCAGUUACACCAAUAUGACCCAUUAGCUUACUAACCC